rnacentral:rRNA from 1 species
CUUACCAACCCGAUGCAAACUACGAAUACCGAAGAAUGUUAUCACGGGAGACACACGGCGGGUGCUAACGUCCGUCGUGAAGAGGGAAACAACCCAGACCGCCAGCUAAGGUCCCAAAGUCAUGGUUAAGUGGGAAACGAUGUGGGAAGGCACAGACAGCCAGGAUGUUGGCUUAGAAGCAGCCAUCAUUUAAAGAAAGCGUAAUAGCUCACUGGUCGAGUCGGCCUGCGCGGAAGAUGUAACGGGGCUAAACCAUGCACCGAAGCUGCGGCAGCGACACUAUGUGUUGUUGGGUAGGGGAGCGUUCUGUAAGCCUGCGAAGGUGGCCUGUGAGGGUUGCUGGAGGUAUCAGAAGUGCGAAUGCUGACAUAAGUAACGAUAA